rnacentral:rRNA from 1 species
UUCGCAAUGCCCGAAAGGGUGACGAAGCGACGCCGCGUGCGGGAAGAAGGCCUUCGGGUUGUAAACCGCUGUCGGGAGUUAAGAAAUGCAAGGGUGUUAACAGCAUCCUUGCUUGACUAAGGCUCCGGAGGAAGCCACGGCUAACUCUGUGCCAGCAGCCGCGAUAAUACAGAGGCGGCAAGCGUUGUUCGGAAUUAUUGGGCGUAAAGAGCACGUAGGCGGCCGUGUAAGUCGGUUGUGAAAGCCUUCCGCUCAACGGAAGAACGGCAUCCGAUACUGCAUGGCUUGAGUGCGGGAGGGGAGAGUGGAACUUCUGGUGGAGCGGUGAAAUGCGUAGAUAUCAGAAGGAACACCGGCGGCGAAAGCGACUCUCUGGCCUAUUACUGACACUGAGUGUGCGAAAGUUAGGGGAGCAAACGGGAUUAGAUACCCCGGUAGUCCCAACCGUAAACGAUGGGCACUAAGUAGAGGGGUUUU